AGCGGCUACCCAAAGUGGUUCAAGGACGGGCAGCCGGUGAACUGGAGAUGGGUUCAUGGAGGCUUGUUGAUGUGCAGGUUGUCGGAUCCCACAGAGGAGCUUCUGCAGCACAAACGGCUGGAAACUUUAAUGCUGGCUCUAAAGAGUGGUCAGAGUGGCCAAUGUGACCUCUGAAAGCUCCUACAGUCAGGACAUGAGCAUCCUGGUCUGAUGGAUGGAGCUUUCUGUCACAAAAUAUGGAUGGACAAAUCUCAUCCAGUCGAGCAUCCUUACUGGAAAACAACUUUUAAUGGACUUAAACGAUCUUCUGUUGACAUCUUGGUGCCUGAAACCAAAGGAAACCUCAAGAAACCUUCAGAGAUGCUGUUUUGGAGGCGCCAUGGGAACCUCUACAUUAUUAAGAUCUCAGUCCAGUCGAGCAUCCUUACUGGAAAAAACAAGUUGCAAAG
ensembl:lncRNA